rnacentral:rRNA from 1 species
GAUGAACGCUAGCGGCGGGCUUAAUACAUGCAAGUCGAGGGGCAGCACGAUGUAGCAAUACAUUGGUGGCGACCGGCGGACGGGUGCGUAACACGUAUGCAACUUGCCCUAUACUGGGGGAUAGCCCGAAGAAAUUCGGAUUAAUACCCCAUAACAUCAGAACAAGCAUUUGUUUUGGUUCAAAACUCCGGUGGUAUAGGAUGGGCAUGCGGUCGAUUAGCUUGUUGGGGAGGGAACGGAUCACCAAGGCGACGAUCGAUAGGGGGCCUGAGAGGGUGAUCCCCCACACUGGUACUGAGACACGGACCAGACUCCUACGGGAGGCAGCAGUAAGGAAUAUUGGUCAAUGGGCGAAAGCCUGAACCAGCCACGCCGCGUGAAGGAAGACGGCCCUAUGGGUUGUAAACUUCUUUUGUACGAGAAUAAACCUCAGGACGUGUCCUGAGCUGAAGGUACCGUACGAAUAAGGAUCGGCUAACUCCGUGCCAGCCGCCGCCGUAAAAC